rnacentral:rRNA from 1 species
UACGUAGGGGGCAAGCGUUGUCCGGAUUUAUUGGGCGUAAAGAGCGUGUAGGCGGCUUUGCAAGUCCGUUGUGAAAACUCGAGGCUCAACCUCGAGACGCCGGUGGAAACUGCAAAGCUAGAGUCCGGAAGAGGAGAGUGGAAUUCCUGGUGUAGCGGUGAAAUGCGCAGAUAUCAGGAGGAACACCCGUGGCGAAAGCGGCUCUCUGGGACGGUACUGACGCUGGGACGCGAAAGCGUGGGGAGCAAACAGG